rnacentral:ncRNA from 2 species
AUAAAGGUCGGCGCCGAUUUGUCUGAUCCGCUUGCGGGCGCCUCAAAAAUCCCGCUAAAAAGGUCCGUAUGGUCUCACA